UUCCGGUUGAUCCCGCCGGAGGCGACCGCUAUUGGAGUUCGAUUAAGCCAUGCGAGUCUAGAGGCUUAGGCCUCGGCGUACCGCUCAGUAACACGUGGAUAACCUGCCCUGUUCAGGGGGAUAACCUCGCGAAAGUGAGAAUAAUACCCCAUAGUUCACCAUGCCUGGAGCGGUUGGUGGAUGAAAGCUCUGGCGGAACAGGAUGGGUCUGCGGCGUAUCAGGUAGUAGGGGGUGUAAUGGACCUCCUAGCCCUCGACGCGUACGGGUUGUGGGAGCAAUCGCCCGGAGAUGGAUUCUGAGACACGAAUCCAGACCCUACGGGGUGCAGCAGGCGCGAAAACUUGACAAUGCGAGAAAUCGUGAUCAGGGAACUCCAAUUGUCCCCGUUUUUACGGGGUUCUGAAUUGACUCUAAACAGGUCGAGUAAUAGGGGCGGGAAAUAUCGGUGCCAGCCGCCGCGGUAAUACCGAAGCCCCAAGUGGUCGUCGUUCUUAUUGGGCCUAAAACGUCCGUAGCCGGUUUGGUACAUUCGUGGGUAAAUCAGACAGCUUAACUGUCUGAAUUCUGCGAGCACGGCCAAACUUGAGACCGGGAGAGGUGUAGGGUACCUGCGGGGUAGGGGUAAAAUCCUGUCAUCCCGUAGGGACCACCAGUUGCGAAGGCUCUACACUAGAACGGAUCUGACGGUCAGGGACGAAGCCUAGGGGCACGAACCGGAUUAGAUACCCGGGUAGUCCUAGGUGUAAACGCUGUGGACUUCGUGUCGGGAAUUCUUCGAGGAUUCUCGGUGCCGGAGUGAAGAUGUUAAGUCCACUGCCUGGGGAGUACGGUCGCAAGGCUGAAACUUAAAGGAAUUGGCGGGGGAGCACUGCAACGAGAGGAGCGUGCGGUUUAAUUGGAAUCAACGCCGGA
rnacentral:rRNA from 1 species